AAUGGAUUGAGAGCUUGCUCUCAAGAAGUUAGCGGCGGACGGGUGAGUAACACGUGGGUAACCUGCCCAUAAGACUGGGAUAACUCCGGGAAACCGGGGCUAAUACCGGAUAAUAUUUUGAACUGCAUGGUUCGAAAUUGAAAGGCGGCUUCGGCUGUCACUUAUGGAUGGACCCGCGUCGCAUUAGCUAGUUGGUGAGGUAACGGCUCACCAAGGCAACGAUGCGUAGCCGACCUGAGAGGGUGAUCGGCCACACUGGGACUGAGACACGGCCCAGACUCCUACGGGAGGCAGCAGUAGGGAAUCUUCCGCAAUGGACGAAAGUCUGACGGAGCAACGCCGCGUGAGUGAUGAAGGCUUUCGGGUCGUAAAACUCUGUUGUUAGGGAAGAACAAGUGCUAGUUGAAUAAGCUGGCACCUUGACGGUACCUAACCNNNAAGCCACGGCUAACUACG
rnacentral:rRNA from 1 species